AGAAUCAACGCUGGCGGCGUGCCUAACACAUGCAAGUCGAACGAGAAAGUGGAGCAAUCCAUGAGUAAAGUGGCGACCGGGUGAGUAACACGUGACUAACCUACCUUCGAGUGGGGGAUAACCUCGGGAAAACCGGGGCUAAUACCGCAUAAUGCCUUCGGGUUAAAGGAGCAAUUCGCUUGAAGAGGGGGUCGCGGCUGAUUAGCUAGUUGGCGGGGUAACGGCCCACCAAGGCGAUGAUCGGUAG
rnacentral:rRNA from 1 species